UUACGGUCACAUCACGUUGAAACACCGGUUCCCGUACGAUCACCGAAGUUAAGCAACAUCGAGUCUGGUCAGUACCUAGAUGGGUGGCCGUUUGGGAAUACCAGGUGAUGUAUG